rnacentral:misc_RNA from 1 species
GAGAGAGAGAGAGAGAAUUCAAUGGUAACUUUUAAAAUAUAUACUCGUAAAUAGCUUCCAUUUCAACAUAAAUUCAACUUAUUCACAUGUAAAAGGAUCAUAAAAUUUUGGACUCCUAAUGAAUCCAACAAGAAAAUGGAAUCCUAUUCCAAAUAUGCUAUUCCAUUUUUAUUCUUGAAAUAAAAAAAUAGAAUUUAAUGGUAAUCUAAAAAAUAUACUAAGAUAUAGUUGCCAUGUCACCAUAAUUGAAGUUAUUCAAAUAUAAAAGAACACAAAGUCUUGGAUUCCUAGUGAAUCCAACAAUAAAUGGAAUCCUAUACCAAAACUUGCAUCCCAUUAUCAUUUCCAGAGAAAACCUAAUGUCUUUACAGUAAUGAAGGAUCUUAAAGCAAUAAAACCAACAAUGGUAUCAAUUGUAAAAGCAUUUCCUUGCAAACUAAAUGAUUUGAGCUCAAUAAUCAUAAUCAACUUGAAAAGGUGUAGCAGACACUAGAAAUAUACCCACUACCCAAAUAAACCACAUUAUUCUCCUUAGAGGAUUUCCAUACAUCAGAAUGGUUUUUCUUAUCAAUCAUAAACAGCUAAUGUUACAGAAUUGCAACAAAAAUAACUAACAAAUGAACAGAUAGAUUGCCAUCCCCAUCCCAAGUCCCAACACAAUUUACAGAGUAAAUACCUUAUAUGUUGCUGGGAUACAUGAAGACUCUAACCCUGUCUC